rnacentral:rRNA from 1 species
GACAAUGGGCGCAAGCCUGAUCCAGCCAUGCCGCGUGUGUGAUGAAGGCCUUAGGGUCGUAAAGCACUUUCGCCAGAGAUGAUAAUGACAGUAUCUGGUAAAGAAACCCCGGCUAACUCCGUGCCAGCAGCCGCGGUAAUACGGAGGGGGUUAGCGUUGUUCGGAAUUACUGGGCGUAAAGCGCACGUAGGCGGAUUAGUCAGUCAGAGGUGAAAUCCCAGGGCUCAACCCUGGAACUGCCUUUGAUACUGCUAGUCUUGAGUUCGAGAGAGGUGAGUGGAAUUCCGAGUGUAGAGGUGAAAUUCGUAGAUAUUCGGAGGAACACCAGUGGCGAAGGCGGUUCACUGGCUUCAUACUGACGCUUAAGUGCGAAAGUGUGGGGAGCAAACAGGAUUAGAUACCCUGGUAGUUCACACCCGUAAACAUGAAUGCCAGUCGUCGGGUAGUAUACUAUUUGGUGACACACCUAACGGAUUAAGCAUUCCGCCUGGGGAGUACGGUCCCAAGAUUAAAACUCAAAGGAAUUGCCGGGCCCCCCCAAGCGGU